UUCGUUCCCUGACGGUAACCAAAUCUAGAUGUAGGAAUCUGUUGAGCAGGAGAGUGACACAUGUCUUCCCGAAGGCUGUCCAGGCUGCAGUGGUGAUGAAGAAGACACGAUCAUCACCCCGAGAUCGAUCGUAGAGAAUUGGAAAACUCAUGGUGAAUUUGCUUCCACUCCAAGGCAAUGUCGAGGUAUGAAGGGUGCUUGUACUGCCUUCCAAAGUGAAGAGGAGAUAAACAUGGCUUUGCAUAGCUGUUGUUGUAUGCCAACUUACCUACUCUUGCUGGUACCGUAGUGGCAUAUUGCAAAUUUCGUGGACGAACGACUUUAGUCACGAGUGGCUAGUGAGCAACACUAACAGACCAGAAUGCUUCGCUAUCAACUCCUGGCUUUCCAUCGGCAUGGUGUUCAGCUGCAGCGGCAUCUGGUCCGGGGAGUUCAAGUUGCUGGAUAGCUGCACUGACACAGGAUGGGUUUGCGUUGGCAAUGGGAUACGGCAGUCAUCUCACAUCACGAGCUACAUGUUUAUGUAAUUUAUAUUGUCGCUCGUCCAGCAACGUCAAGGCUCUGCAUGUAAACACAGGAGAACACCAUAAUACUACUCAGGGGAUAAUAAUUUUGGAUAUCAAUUUUGUGACAAUUAUUAGAUUCACACAAUAUUCAAAACGUAUGCAACACGAUGCUGUCUAUUGACACUACUUCAAACUGAAGUGCUCACUACUCCUCUCCCGUUUUCAUCUCCCUCUACCUUAUGAAUACUCUGCAUUACUGGUUUCGUUUCUACCCUUUCCAUUGCUGCCAGCUCCCAGUCUUUUUCAAUGCACAGCACCACCUUGACAGUCAUUUUUGUGAUUUGAUGUACACAUACUUUGAAGUUCAAAUUCGAAUUACAUGAUCAGAUUUUUGUUCCACAUUUUCUAUUUAUUUUUACUUCAAGCACAACCCUACCGAUGAAGGGAAAGAAGCAGCAGAGAGA